GACGAACGCUGGCGGCGUGCUUAACACAUGCAAGUCGAACGGUGAAAGCGGAGCUUGCUCCGCUGGAUCAGUGGCGAACGGGUAAGUAACACGUGGGCAACCUGCCCUUGACUCUGGGAUAACUGCGGGAAACUGUAGCUAAUACCGGAUACGACCCUCGGAGGCAUCUCCUGGGGGUGGAAAGAAUUUCGGUCAAGGAUGGACUCGCGGCCUAUCAGCUAGUUGGUGAGGUAAAGGCUCACCAAGGCGACGACGGGUAGCCGGCCUGAGAGGGUGACCGGCCACACUGGGACUGAGACACGGCCCAGACUCCUACGGGAGGCAGCAGUGGGGAAUAUUGCACAAUGGGCGCAAGCCUGAUGCAGCAACGCCGCGUGAGGGAUGACGGCCUUCGGGUUGUAAACCUCUUUUAGCAGGGAAGAAGCGAAAGUGACGGUACCUGCAGAAAAAGCACCGGCUAACUACGUGCCAGCAGCCGCAGUAA
rnacentral:rRNA from 1 species